GGAGCUGUAGCUCAGUGGCAGAGCACUUGCCUAGCAUGCAUGAGGCACUGGGUUCAAUCCUCAGCACCUACU
rnacentral:tRNA from 1 species